GACUGACCAAACAAGUUUGCUAAGCCAAAGAACGUUCUUUGGCUAAGCGCCAUUUCAAGCGAGGACAGUCGUAACAAUGGAUACAGCUCCUUUGCCAAAAGAGGCAUUACAUGAUAGUUCAAAAUUAUCAGAUUUUUAUAACUGCAAGAAGUUCCCGAAGAUGCUGUUAAUGUCCUAAAAGGGUAAAGGCAAAGCAAGUAUUUUAGCAUCAGGCCGUUUUUUAAAAAAAAAAAAACAAAAUCCAAAUUCUGCACUUCUAAUAUUUGCUAAAUGGAAUAGAAGACGUGGAAUCUCUUGGACCAGCUCAGAAUAAACAGCCCAUGAUAGUGUGUAUUACAAGUUCAUUCUAUAUUAAAGCAGUAAAUCACUUAAUAGCAUGCCCAAAUCAUGCCAUGAAGGCAUUUGACAUUCUAUUUAAAACUAAUUUUGUAUUUAGCGUUCAAUAUGCACAUACAUCAACAAAUUUUUAUAAUUUUGUGGCAAGCCUUUUGUAUAAUGUCAGCACUCCUACAGCU